GACGAACCGUGCGAACGUUGUUCGGAUUCACUGGGCUUAAAGGGCGCGUAGGCGGGCUGCCAAGUCAGGGGUGAAAGCUCCCGGCCCAACCGGGAAAGGGCCUUUGAUACUGGCGGCCUCGAGGGAGGUAGGGGCACGCGGAACUUCCGGUGGAGCGGUGAAAUGCGUAGAUAUCGGAAGGAACGCCGGUGGCGAAAGCGGCGUGCUGGACCUCUGCUGACGCUGAGGCGCGAAAGCCAGGGGAGCGAACGGG
rnacentral:rRNA from 1 species